AUAUCGAUUAACGUUACCCAGGGCCAAAGUGGCCAGCGGGCGGACUAUCUAACGUUAACCUUACAUCCUAACAGUUUUCAUCCAGAGCUAGCUAAAGACGGCGACUAGUAAGCUGAGCACCGAUACAAAUAAACGAAAUAUAACGUUAACCAACUUAAGGUGGUGUUCCCCUUUGAGGCUGAUUCCCUGCCAAGCAGCCCUUCCUGACUGCUACUGCUGCUGAACCUGAGUGACAGAUGAGUCAAAAGUUUGAAAGAAAAACUUCAGAGGAAGCUGCAAAGAUCACUGAUAUGACAUCUGAAGAGAAACCUGAGAUGUGCCUCAUAAAGACUCGUGAAUUGUUGUCAAAGGCUCAGUUGCUGCUGUCUGACAUAGAGCACCUGCUGGACCAGUGCACAAAAGGCCCCACCAAUCGGAGACAGUGCAGAAUGAUUCAGCAGUGUCAGGUCAGCAUAGAAGAGGAUGGAGAAACCUUGGAUAUAGAGGGCUUCAGGUUCACGAGUGCAGUCAGCAGGGAGGACCUGAGAUCACUCACUGUUGGAGGAAGAGGAUGCCAGGGCAACACUUAACUGAUGGCUACCGUAGUGAUUUCAUCACACAAAGUCAACAAGGUCAAACGACUGAUAGAGGUAACGAUGGCAGACGGAGAGCCGACAUAUGACAUGAGUUAAAAUGAUGGGAGAAAGGCUAACAGUUGACAUGUGUUGCUCUUUACAGCAGAGAGACAAAGCAGUAUGACACCAUGGUGUAUAAAGGAUACAGACCAUUUUUACAGUAGAUAAAUGUUCCAAUUGUUCCUAAUGUUUUAUGAAUUAUUAGUUCAUUGUUGCUUAUCUUCAGAUUUUUGAUUCUUGUGAACAUAGUUUGACAGUUUUGAAUUGCCAUUUUUGGCACGUUUGAGUCAUUUCUGAAUAUGUCCAUGCAGUUGACUCAAAGGGUUGUUUAUGUUAGUGCCACAGUAUAUAGGAUGGAUAUUAUAUAGUUAGAAUGCUGUUGUUUAGGCUAAUGGUUAUGCCUUGCAUUAUUUAUUUCACUCCUGUUAGUCUUGUCCAACCCAGCAUAGUACAUUUUGCCGUUUCAGCAGCACGAAGCAAAUGGAACAGUAGCUCACUGGCAUUCUGCACAUUUAUGCCUUUAUUUCAUUUAGCGUUGUUGCCUUUAAGUGUACUGUGGGUCACGCACACCUUGAAUAUCCUGUAUACAACAGCACACCGUGUAGGUUAGAUGGGGACAUGGCUUUCUCUUUGAUUAUACAGAGCUGUUGGACUAUUCAGUGUCCUUUCUGUUUGUUCCCUAUUGUAGAUCAUCUUGCUCCCUAAAAGCACCUCCAGUGCUCCUAUUAUAGUAAAGUUUCACAGCCCUCCAUGCUUUUUAGUGCAGUUGGCUCGAAGAAAAACAGUAUAAUAAAUACAAAUGACAGUGCUAUAUUUCGGUACCUGAAGGUCUAUAAGAAGUCUUAUAAUUGAAUAACCUGAAGUCAAGACCUUUAAAGCUCAUAAAUAAAGUUCAGUGCAUUGGAGGAUGAUUAUGACAGUGCAGUGUGUCUUAAAUGUGUCACUCUUCCUCACUCCACUUUGCAGGAGUUUUUCCAAACAGUUCAGAUACAUUAUUCGUUGUGUCUUUACUUCUCUGCUGAUUUUGGUGAAGAAACAUUUAAAAACAUUUUGUAUUAAUUUAAAAUUGAAUUCUAGACAUGUAAAACCACUUGCAUGACAUCAUUAACAUCAGUUGUCAGUAUCUGAUGAUACAUUUUGUUUUCUAAAUAUUGUUAUACUGUAGCAUCAGCUCCAAAGAGGAAUAAAA